CAAGAGCCCCAGAUCUGAACACUGCUUACACAGGCUUUCCCGGUCACUGUAACAGGGCUCUUCUAGAAUGUCUCCGAUGGUGCAGAUAAGAAGCCUCAGAGCCACCGCUGGGACCCAUCAACUUCUCUCUUGUGCUGUUUUCCUUCCUGUACGGAAAGUGUUUCCUUGAAGACAACAUAAUGGAUCUCUAAAUGAGGCUGGCAGCGUUCAUCUGGGACACGGUACUGAAUGAUGAAUGGCGCUGAGUCAAUCAGUCACGUGCUGACAUGGUCCAUUCGGUAGCAGUCCUCCAUGGAAGAUGUUCCCUGUCGUUAAGUGCGAUCGUUGUGUGCAAUCCUGACCAGCUGGGCAGGUGUGAAUUCAUUUGUCCCGCCAACUAACACAUGGAUCAUCCCAGCAUCCUCUCAGAUGACCACACUUGAAUAUCUCUUGGGUCAUUGUUGAGGAUUCUGCUGUAGUUUCACAGGGAGAAGGACUCUAGACUUUUUCCAUGAAGCUGGGCAAGGAGAAGAUGGAGAAGAAGCCUUAUGAAAUGAUUGUGAAAUUAGAGGGUGGGAGCCUGGGAGUGUGGGACUUCAAAUGUGAGUAGAGGUUGCUGGAAAUGGAUACUGGCUUCUUGACAGAAGACCAGAAAGAAGGAACCAAUGGUUGUGUGGAAGAAGAGACCCUGAAACAUUUCCAGAGUGAGGAUGAGUUUUCUGGAAAAUCUGUGCCCACAAAUUUAUUUGUGCAGUAAAAGUUAAUAUAUUCCACCUUUAAUGC